AUUGAACGCUGGCGGCAUGCUUUACACAUGCAAGUCGAACGGUAACAGGCCGCAAGGUGCUGACGAGUGGCGAACGGGUGAGUAAUGCAUCUGAACGUGCCCAGGCGUGGGGGAUAACUACUCGAAAGAGUAGCUAAUACCGCAUACGAUCUAUGGAUGAAAGCGGGGGACCGUAAGGCCUCGCGCGAUUGGAGCGGCCGAUGUCAGAUUAGGUAGUUGGUGGGGUAAAGGCUCACCAAGCCAACGAUCUGUAGCUGGUCUGAGAGGACGACCAGCCACACUGGGACUGAGACACGGCCCAGACUCCUACGGGAGGCAGCAGUGGGGAAUUUUGGACAAUGGGCGCAAGCCUGAUCCAGCAAUGCCGCGUGCAGGAAGAAGGCCUUCGGGUUGUAAACUGCUUUUGUACGGAACGAAACGGCUCUGGUUAAUACCCGGGGCUAAUGACGGUACCGUAAGAAUAAGCACCGGCUAACUACGUG
rnacentral:rRNA from 1 species